GGCAGCAGCUAAGAAUAUUCCGCAAUGGACGAAAGUCUGACGGAGCGACGCCGCGUGGAUGAUGAAGGCCGGAAGGUUGUAAAAUCCUUUUAUGACUGAGGAAUAAGUGAAGUGAGAGAAACGCUUCAUGGUGACUGUAGGUCAUGAAUAAGCAACGGCUAAUUACGUGCCAGCAGCCGCGGUAACACGUAAGUUGCGAGCGUUGUUCGGAAUUAUUGGGCGUAAAGGGCAUGUAGGCGGUUCUGCAAGUCUGGUGUGAAAUACCGGGGCUCAACCCCGGAACUGCGUUGGAAACUGCAGAACUUGAGUCGCUGAGGGGCAGCCAGAAUUCCAGGUGUAGGGGUGAAAUCUGUAGAUAUCUGGAAGAAUACCAAUGGCGAAGGCAGGCUGCCAGCAGAUGACUGACGCUGAGGUGCGAAGGUGCGGGGAGCAAACAGGAUUAGAUACCCUGGUAGUCCGCACAGUCAACUAUGUACACUAGGUGUCCGUUCAUGAGAAUGGGUGCCGAAGCAAACGCGAUAAGUGUACCGCCUGGGGAGUAUGCCCGCAAGGGUGAAACUCAAGGAAUUGACGG
rnacentral:rRNA from 1 species